rnacentral:rRNA from 1 species
ACGAACGCUGGCGGCAUGCCUAACACAUGCAAGUCGAACGAACCCUUCGGGGUUAGUGGCGCACGGGUGCGUAACGCGUGGGAACCUGCCCUUAGGUUCGGAAUAACAGUGAGAAAUCGCUGCUAAUACCGGAUAAUGUCUUCGGACCAAAGAUUUAUCGCCUUCGGAUGGGCCCGCGUAGGAUUAGCUAGUUGGUGAGGUAAAGGCUCACCAAGGCGACGAUCCUUAGCUGGUCUUAGAGGAUGAUCAGCCACACUGGGACUGAGACACGGCCCAGACUCCUACGGGAGGCAGCAGUGGGGAAUAUUGGACAAUGGGCGAAAGCCUGAUCCAGCAAUGCCGCGUGAGUGAUGAAGGCCUUAGGGUUGUAAAGCUCUUUUACCAGGGAUGAUAAUGACAGUACCUGGAGAAUAAGCUCCGGCUAACUCCGU